UACGAAGGGGGCUAGCGUUGUUCGGAAUUACUGGGCGUAAAGCGCACGUAGGCGGACUAUUAAGUCAGGGGUGAAAUCCCGGGGCUCAACCCCGGAACUGCCUUUGAUACUGGUAGUCUCGAGUCCGGAAGAGGUGAGUGGAAUUCCGAGUGUAGAGGUGAAAUUCGUAGAUAUUCGGAGGAACACCAGUGGCGAAGGCGGUUCACUGGUCCGGUACUGACGCUGAGGUGCGAAAGCGUGGGGAGCAAACAGG
rnacentral:rRNA from 1 species